GCGCGUGUAGCUCAGUGGUCAGAGCAAUCGUCUUAUAAGCGAUAGGUCGAUGGUUCAAAUCCAUCCACGCGCA
rnacentral:tRNA from 1 species